AUGUUUUUACUUGAUGAUUUAAGAAGGGGUCCAGUAAAGACCAGAACUGGUAUAAGCCCUGAUGAAUCAGAAGUUCUGAAGAGGGACAAGACACAAGGCAAAAGUGGCCUAGGCCAGGAGUCAAUGUAUGAAAGAAAAACAAACUCAACCCAAACAGCUGGCAUUCAAUCCCUUUACAAGGAGAGAAUAGUGACCUCCAAGAACUUCAGAAUGCUUUUUACAAAUAGGGCAAAAGUGAAUUGAAGCUAUCCCAACAAGGGGAUACCCCAGUCUCUCAACAAGAAAGAAGCUGCAAAGAGGUUUGUAACUUUUCAAAAGCCUGGUCUGAUUCUGAAGCUUUGGGAAUAAGAACAAAGUCCAAUGUCCAGAGGUAUCAGCUAGGUUGUACGCAUUUUUCAAAGGGCAAGACGUCCUGGUGUAGCACUUUUGAUGUACCCUGUUUAUAUUCCAAGAUUUAGAGCAUUUUCUUCUUUGUAAAAGUGUUUGGAGAUUAAAAAUCUCGUAUUAUCUCAUUCCAUAGCACUGUAGGUUCUAGCAGGUUAAAACCCCACAAAAGUCAGUGAAAUGUUACAUGUAAGUAUUCAACUUUUAUAUUAUGAAGUGCAGUUUGGGCACCAAAUUAACAUAUCAUUUAUUUCCAUCAGCAUUGGUCAAAUGCAUGUGUCUGUAUGGGUGGAAUUUGUUCCGUCUUAAAACCUUCAUUGCCUGUGUCCAGCUAUGUAGCUACUGUAAUACAAGAGAAUACCAACCAGUGUCUUCCUGCAACUAUGGGAAGACUUUUCCGCUGUGAUGCCAUUUGACUAGGAGGUAAAGGGACUGCAGGGUUGGGAUGACUUGCUCAGCAAGAUCUUUAGGCUACGCAAUGCUGGGGUCAGUAUUUUAAUAAGAUCUAAAAUUAAGGGUGGCUACAACUGGAGAUGCAGAAGUUGUGUUGAUAUAAUUAACAAGUAACUCCGUGAAAUUCUUGACUAUUGCUCUAUGUAAGCUGAUUAUUUAUCUAAUAGAUGUUUCAUUCUACUUAAAUGUAUCAUUCUGUCAUCCCAGCAGGGCAAUACAUACUUAGCAAAGUGCUUCUCUGGGGUUAUUUGGCCUUUUCAGCAAGCUAAAUGUCUUUUUCAACAUUUAAAUUUUUUAAAGUGCAAAAGAAACAUCUUCUGUGAAACCAAAGUACUUUUUAACAAGAGACAAGUCUCUGGCUAUUUGCUUAACAUCCCCUGACCCCCAGCACUUCGCUUACUCUCUUUGACCUGAUAUUUAGUGCUGAACAUCAAAACCAUUUGAUAAAAAGGUACUUUGUCUGAACGGUUUGCUGUUCAAUUAAUUGUACAUUUUAAUUCAACAUUAAUCACAAUACCACAACAAAUAGUGUGUUAACCAGCAGUGUCUAAAACAAACCAGUGUGAUCCAGAAGCAAUAAUAUACAUUUGAAAAAUCAACUCAUGUAAUAAUUUUCAUAUUCAAAUCUGUUACUAGUACAAAUAGAAAAUUCAUAUACAGCAAUUAAGUGAACAUAUCAAAGUAGACUUCUUAGAGCAGUUUAAAGUAUUAAUAGUCACAAAAAAUGGUGUCAAUAAAACAUAUUAAAAUACUGUUCCUUCCAAAUGAAAAAAAAAAAAAGAGAAAGAUGAAACUAUUAAUGAAACAUCAAUAGUGUGAUGGGAUAGUUCAAAGUGCAUAUGCAAGAGGGUGGCAAUGCAAGCCCUCCUCUUUAUGCAUUCCCUCCUCUUGGCACAAUAACCUUGUGCAAAGAAUAGUCCUGCAGCCUUUGCAACAGAUCACCUCUCUUCCCAACUGGGACCUUCAUGUGCUCCUAGUUGUGCUAAAGAUUUCUGUAAACUGUCUUGCAAUAUGCAAGGUAGCGCACACUUUCUAGAAAAGUAUGUUAUGUACCAGUAAUGCCCCCUC
ensembl:lncRNA